CAGAAUAAAAAUCACCAUGAAAGUUUUCGUUCUUUUUGCUGCUGUAUUGGGCUGUUGCUUAGCAGCACCAUGUGACCAUGACAACGCCCAUGAUUUAACAGAAGAACAUGUCAUCAAUAUGGUUGUUGUUGCCAUGGAUACCGAUGGCAAUGGUGUUAUCUCAGAGAUUGACAUAUUGACUUAUUUCAUUGGACAAUUUGAUCACAACGGUAACUUGCAGGUGGAAUCCACUGAAUUUGUUAAACAAUGGCACGCCACCUUCCAUGAUUCUCCAGCUUUUGCUCUGCACGUUUUUCAAAGUAUUAAUACCAAUAAUGAUGACCACCUUGGUCUCUCCGAUGUUGAUCCUUUAGUCGCCAGAGUUGACACAUCAGGUGAUGGACAAAUUCAAAAUGGCGAAUUCAAGACCUACCUUGAAGCA